UUUUUCUUUUUGCAAGUAUACAAAACUCUAAAAAACACACUGGAGAAGCUAAUAUCUAUGAUUAUAAAGAAUAUAUUCAAGGAGUUCCCAUCAUGGUGCAGUGGUUAACGAAUCCAACUAGGAACCAUGAGGUUGCAGGUUCGAUCCCUGGCCUUGCUCAGUGGGUUAAGGAUCCGGCGUUGCCGUGAGCUGUGGUGUAGGUUGCAGACACGUUCGGAUCCUAUGUUGCUGUGGUUCUGGCGUAGGUCGAUGGCUACAGCUCCAAUUCGACCUCUAGCCUGGGAACCUCCACAUGCCGUGUGAGCGGCCCUAGAAAAGGCUAAAAGACAAAAAAAAAAGAAUACAUUCAAUAGUCUUAUUCCCCACCUCUGGUUCCAUUAAUUUUAGUCUAAUAGAUCACAAUAUUCUAUGGAUUGAUUAGCUGUUUUUCCUCUGCCCUUUGAAAGAUUUCCUGUUAGCAAAAAUAUUUAUUAAGAGAAUACUAGAGGAAAAUAUCAUACUGUACAGUCACAAUUUGCUACAGAAUGCUGAACUGUCUCAGCAGGUGCUGCCCCUCCAUGUGUCAAUCUGAAGUGAUAGAAAUUUUUUGAAUAUCCUGUGGUCAUUACAUAUUGAAUACAACCCCCCUCCCCAACCUUCACACCCAAAGAGCUUUUACUUUGCUAGAGACAAACCAGAGGAAGAUUUGCCAGACUGUAAAACAGAAUUUCUUGUUGUUGUUGUUAUACUCCUAGAAUAUUAUUUUCUUAUGUCCAUCAAUCUUACUGCCUCAAUAAGACAUGAAAAGUUAGGGUGAGCUCCAGAAUGUCUUGGCUCAGUUUCAUCACUGCAAGGUUUUAAGUUACCCCUAUCAAUGGUCAUGAGCCACUUGGGAAAGCACAGCACACAACACUGAAACAAAAAUGAUAGUAACAUGCUCUGCAGAGAGAGCUGGGAAUAUCUGAACCAAACAGGAAAAGCGGACUGAAAGAAAAAGAUGAGAACUCCUAUGAUAAAACUUCAUUACAUUCAUCCAGUCAACAAAUAUUUACUGAGCGCCUUCUCUCUAUAUAAAGAACACAUUCAAAGAGGAUGGCACAUCCAUAGUAUGGGCAUAACAUUAAUAACUUUCCAUAAUGCUAUUUUUCAAAGGCGUUUCUUUUAGCAUAGUCAUUUUCCCCCAGUUUGGAAAAAAUCAGAAACAGACAUUUGCUUGCAUAAUUCCAAUGAGAACUAACUUACGUUGACAUGGACCUUAGGAAAGAGAAUGAAAUCACUGUGUUCUAUGUUGGAAAGAAAUCCUAAAAAGGCAGACAACAUACAGCUGACUUAGAUGACUCAGGAAUUUACAACAUUUAGAUUCUCCUUACCUACCAAACACUGUGGUAGAUAUGUUCACAUGGUUUUAUUACUAAGGCAUAUGCAGAUGCAUUUUCAUUACAUUAGUAAGUUACAAUGCCCCAAGUCAAGCUUCCUGACAGAAAAAUGGCACAACAUUUGAUUACUAAUCUACAUAUCAGGCCAAGCUAUGUAAACCCUAGUAGCUCUGAACCUAAAACCUCAAGCCCUCUUACUACAUAGAUGUAGACAGUUGGUAUGAGUCUUAACCCAAGAUUUAGUGUGGCUUUGAAAAUAUUAGCUAUGUCUUGCUCUAAAUAGUACUACUCCCUGGUUUCUCUAAUCAACUUCAUUGUAUUCCCAAUAACUAAAAUGCAGAUCUUUUACCUUUUGUCUGACUAUCACUAAGAAAAUGUAGUUUUAAACAGCACACAAGCAUAAUCUACAAUGGAGGCAAUCUCUCAAGCUUUGAGCAGAGAAGAAUUAAGAGGGAAAUCCUUGAGAAGACAGUAAUUGGGCCACUGGAGUUUCUUCUCACUAAUUAUUCCAGAGUGGCCAUUAGCUAUGUAACCAAGGAGGAAAGUGUGUCAGACUUCAGCGAAGCUGUGUCUUCAGCAUCUUAUGGAAUGCACCCUAAAGCCACUGUGUAAUUAACUGCCAGGAAAAUGCUGAGUGAGUAGAAUAAAGAAGCUAUAACAAAUCAAAUAUACUGCACAGUUCAACCCCCAAUGACAGCAGUUGAACUGCUUAGAACUUCAAAAUACUCAUCAGCAUACAUUUCCUUUUGAGAAUCUCCAGAAAACAGAUUUUUAGUUAAGUGAAAAAGCAAAAAUACAGGUUUAAGAGGCUUAAACUUAUAUAAAUUCUCAGCUAUAAGGAUCAUUUAUCUUGCUCCCCUCAUGUUACAGGAACACAGUAUCAAUGAUGCUCAAAGCGUGGGCCACAAGGAAACUGGAGGGCUUUUCCAAAAAUCUAAGAUCAUGAUCUACUGUGGUCAAACAGAGACCCAAAAGGGGGCGGGGGGUGAGUCUCUUGAAUGUAUUGUGGGAUACUCUCCAAUAUACUCUUAAGAUUUUUUAGUACAUUUUUAUCUAUUCAGCAAAUAUUGAUUGAGCACCUAUAUACCUAAAGCUAAGAAUGAACUCCAGUCCCACUGGAAUACUGAAAUUUCAAGGAUCAGAUAACUUAGCAGAGGCUGGAACAUGUCCAUUUGUUUAGCUUUUAUUUGGGAACACAGGAAGGUUGUAUUUUCAGUGAGCAAUUAAAAUUUGCCCCCAAAUUUUAAGGUUGUAUUUCAGUGAGCAAUUAAAAUUUGCUCCCAAAACUGGCUGGGAAGAAUUACAGAGAACUUAAAAUCAGAACUUGAGCCCUACCCAACAUUUACUGAGAUAGGUUCUAGGAGCAGAGUCCAGAUACAUGUAGCGACAUGUUUAAGACUUUUAGGCCUAGAUAAUUAUAAUGAUCAGUAAGGUUUAGGAAUCACCAUUGAAUACUUUGUCUUUCUUUAGAACCUAAAAGCUAAACAGCCCCUAUUAUACAUGAAUUCAAUGUUCAAUACCAUAAGCAGGAAACAUAACCAAGAAUUCUAUAUAACUAUCUGAAGACAUAAUUUCUUAUUGUAUCAAUAUUUCCUUCUUUCAGAUUCAUUACUUGGAAGAAAAAAAAAAAAGUAUAUCAAGGUCUUAAAAUACUUUCACCCCCCUCACCUAGUUCUUGAAAUUCUACCAAUUUUUCAUGACAAAAUGCAAAUCUUCCAAUAAGCCUUCUUUGAUCCCUCAGCAGGAAAUAUUCCUCCCCUGUAUUCCAUAGCAUAUUAUGAUAUAUUUCCUAUAUUCUGUAUGUAUUACAAUAGGUUUACACUGAUCACCCUAACAGUAACUUAAUCUCUUUAAUAGAUGGAACCUCACUUACUGAAUCUAUUUCAGCAUCUAAUUCCUUGCUCAAUGAAGAUGUUCCAUACAUAUUUAACUGAAUUAAACUUAGAAACCAGAAGAGAACUCAUCUUUCUGUCUGAGGGCAUUAUUAAGUAACACUGCCAAUUUAGGACUCUUGCUAAAAAAAAAAAAAAAAAAAACAGCACAUCGAAAAUAUUUUUAAGAAAACACCAUCUUUUAGGCAUAGUGUGUCAACAUUUCGACUAAAACAAAGUACUUAGGAGUUCCCGUCAUGGCUCAGUGGUUAACAAAUCCGACUAGGAACCAUGAGGUUGCGGGUUCGAUCCCUGGCCUUGCUCAGUGGGUUAAGGAUCCGGCACUGCUGUGAGCUGUGGUGUAGCUCGCAGACACGGCUUGGAUCCCACGUUGCUGUGGCUCUGGUAUAGGCUGGCAGCUACAGCUCCGAUUGGACCCCUAGCCUGGGAACCUCCAUAUGCCGCGGGAGAGGCCCUAGAAAAAAGGCAAAAAGACAAAAAACAAAAACAAAAACAAACAAACAAACAAAAAACCAGAGUACUCAAACAAACUGACCAUUACACAGAAACUUUAUUUCACUUUAAAUAAAAUCUCGGAGUUAUACUCUAAAUGUUAGAUUGUAGUUUUUCUCUGUUUCACUUCUUCCAAGUAUUAGAAAUAUCCAGAUAGUUUAGAAUGCUAUCUUCCCAAGUAUAGCUCUAAAAGGAGACUGAGAGUACAUUUUCAAGAAAAAGAGCUACUGAUGAUUAUACAUAAAAGGAAAAUGCCCCCAAAUCUCUAUUAUAGGAUAUUAAUUUACAGAUUUAUAAGAAGUAACAGAGUUACUAAUCUCAUCAUGAAAGGCUGAUUAAUUUCAUAUUAGGCAAGUUUGAUUCUAAAAAGUUACAUCUUGGAUUCUUUGGCAGCUGUUACUGGUGUUUGUACAGCCCUUGUCAUCACCCCAGAUGACUGCUGAUUGACAGGAUUAAUAGAUUUUGUUUUAAUUGUAAAAGAAGACAGAUGAAAGCUUUUGGCCAGAUGACUAACUGCUCAUCUUGAGUAAUAAACAUUCCUAUUUCUCUCCCUCCAUAUUGAAUAUCUAUUUCUAAUUCACUAUUAACUAAUCAAGUAGGGCUGCAGCUUUAAAAAAAAAAAAAGAGUAUAAUACAAAAGGUCAAAUGUAUUUCUUUGGAAAAAAUAGAUUUCUUUUUCUAACUUUGAUACCGAUUAGAAAUUACUAAAUAAAAACACCAGGUGAAAGUUAAGUACUUUCCUGGUAGUUUCUCUUCUCUGCAGCUGCAGCAAUUCUCAAAAUUACACUUAAAAAUAGAGAUUGAGAGGGAGAGUACAUACAUCUUAACUCUGACAUUCUCUUUUUUUCUCCCUAAGUACUUGAAAGAAGGCAACUUCAAUUCAACUUCAAAACCAAUACUGUAAACACAAUUUUAGCUGAGAUACACCUGGAAAAGAAAGUAAACAACUUUCCUCUUUUUGCUAUAUCAUAUAUUGACACAUAUUCAAAUGUAUAAUGCCACAUUUUAUCUAAAAACUAUGUGUCCAAAAACUGUAUUUAUCAGUAACCUAAUAAAAAGUCCUUUACCAUUAAAAUGGUAUAAGUACAAAGAGACCAUACUCUGCUGAAGAGCUGCAUGUGACCUGCAGAGGCUAGUGCCAUCACUGACCAAUAACCAAAUGUUCAGGAAAGAGCCACAAUAUUUCUGGUUUGACAAAGCAAUCAAUAAAGAUGCUAUAUGACCUCAAACUGUGCUCUCAUGUUUUUUUUUUUUUUUCUUUUUCCUUUUUAGGGCCGCACCCGCGGCAUAUGAAGGUUCCCAGGCUAGGGUCAAAUAGCAGUUAUAGCUGUCGGCCUACACCACAGCCACAGCAACACAGGAUCCAAGCCGUGUUUGCGACCUACACCACAGCUCAUGGCAAUGCCGGAUCCUUAACCCCCUGAGCAAGGUCACAGAUUUGGCUCAGAUCCCGAGUUGCUAUGGCUAUGGCAGAGGCCAUCAGCUGCAGCUCUGAUCCGAACCCUAGCCUGGGAACUUCCAUAUGCCGCAGGUGUGGCCGAAAAAGAAAAAAAAAUACAUAAAGAGAAAACUGUCUUCCUUUCACUUCAUACUUGAAUGGUGUCCCUGCUAAAUGAGCUGUGGUUUAGGUGGCAGAUGUGGCUCAGAUAUGGCUUUGCUGUGGCUGUGAUGUAGACCAGUAGCCACAGCUCCGAUUCGACCCCCUAGCCAGGGAACUUCCAUAUGCUACAAGUGUGUCUCUUAGAGAAAAAAACAAAACAAAACAAAACAAAAACUCAGAAAGAAAGUCC
rnacentral:lncRNA from 1 species